UGGGGAAUUUUCCGCAAUGGGCGCAAGCCUGACGGAGCAAUACCGCGUGAGGGAGGAAGGCUUUUGGGUUGUAAACCUCUUUUGUUAAGGAAGAAGCAAGUGACGGUACUUAACGAAUCAGCAUCGGCUAACUCUGUGCCAGCAGCCGCGGUAAGACAGAGGGUGCAAGCGUUGUUCGGAAUUAUUGGGCGUAAAGCGCGCGUAGGCGGCGAGUUAAGUCGGAUGUGAAAGCCCGGGGCUCAACCUCGGAAGUGCAUCCGAAACUGGCUUGCUUGAAUCUUGGAGGGGGCAGUGGAAUUCCCGGUGUAGAGGUGAAAUUCGUAGAUAUCGGGAGGAACACCAGUGGCGAAGGCGACUGCCUGGACAAUGAUUGACGCUGAGGUGCGAAAGCGUGGGUAGCAAACAGGAUUAGAUACCCCGGUAGUCC
rnacentral:rRNA from 1 species